AUUGAACGCUGGCGGCAGGCCUAACACAUGCAAGUCGAGCGAGCGGCGGACGGGUGAGUAAUGUAUGGGGAUCUGCCCGAUAGAGGGGGAUAACUACUGGAAACGGUGGCUAAUACCGCAUACUAUCGGAGCAACCCAUAUGGGAUUAGCUAGUAGGUGGGGUACAGGCUCACCAAGGCGACGAUCUAUAGCUGGUCUGAGAGGAGGAUCAGCCACACUGGUACUGAGACACGGCACAGACUCCUACGGGAGGAAGCAGGGGGGAAUAUUGGACAAUGUGGGCAAGCCUGAUCCAGCAAUGCCGCGUGUAUGAAGAAGGCCUUCGGGUUGUAAAGUACUUUCAGCGUGGAGGCGUUACCCGCAGAAGAAGCACCGGCUAACUCCGUGCCAGCAGCCGCGGUAAUAC
rnacentral:rRNA from 1 species